GCCUUCGUAGUGUAAUAGUUAACACACUCGGCUCGCAUUCGAGAGGUUUCAGGUUCAAGUCUCGACGAGAGUA
rnacentral:tRNA from 1 species